rnacentral:rRNA from 1 species
AUGGAGGAGGAGGAGGCCAGGAGAUACUAUGAAGAUUACGUAGUCAAUUCUCAUGGAAUCUGUGAUAAAUCUGUCGUUCUUUUGCUAUCCCAUAAGGAAAAUGAUCCAGAGAAGAAAGUUACAUCUCUUCACACUGGUACCAUUUUUGCAUCUGGGGAGAAAUCAUGUUGUAUCAUGACGACGUCAGCAUUUACUUUGAAUUUGAAGACUCAUGUAUGUGAAGCGCAUUUUUUUUAUAAAACAAAAACGAAGGUGAAAAACUAUAUGGUGCAAAAAGAGUUUGGAAUAGCCAUCAUUUAUGCUGGAGAUGUCAACAUGGCAAAGGUGGAACAAGUUACAUUUAGUGAUGAAAAUGUGGGUUCACAUGAGAGGGUUUUCACUUGUGGUUACAACUCGAAUCAAAAAGGCAGGAGUUUCUUCUCUGGAAGUAUUGUAAGUGGUGUAGGCAUGAAGCACAAGCAUAUGAAGCACAAGGAUAUGAAGCAUAAUCUUACCUUAUUUGUGCAUGGGUGUGCAACUGGCACAGACGGGCAUUUGGGAUCUGCUGUUUUUGAUGAAACACACCGUCUUGUUGACUUGUUGGCAUGA